CAAAGCCUGGCCUGGGGAUGACCUAACUGAAUAAUACAUCUGCUGGCCGAUUCAAAACAUGGAAUCAGACAUAAGGUGCAGUCUCAAAAGGACCAUAGACAGGUAUAAGUGUUUACAUCCUCUGUGAUGCCAUGAUUCUCCAUAGAUUGUAUCAAAAUACACUUAUUUCUGAUGUCAAAACUAAACCUCUUGGUGAACUUCAGCGUGCUUACUCCUGCACCCAGUUCAGGUUCAGCCACAAUCACAAUCCAAAGAAAGGGCUCUGUGCAGCAAUGGGGGCACUCUGGAGACACGUACCUGUGACUGCGCAUCCCGCGCCUGAGAAUACUAAUGGAGGGUAGCGAUCCUUUGAGUCUACCUCCUUCUUUGCUAGUAAAA